rnacentral:rRNA from 1 species
AUUGAACGCUGGCGGCAUGCUUUACACAUGCAAGUCGAACGCGAAAGGGGGGCAACCCCUGAGUAGAGUGGCGAACGGGUGAGUAAUACAUCGGAACGUACCCAGUCGUGGGGGACAACCAGUCGAAAGACUGGCUAAUACCGCAUACGCAGGAGACUGGAAAGGGGGCGCCCGCAAGGGGCUCUCGCGAUUGGAGCGGCCGAUGUCCGAUUAGCUAGUUGGUGGGGUAAAGGCUCACCAAGGCGACGAUCGGUAGCUGGUCUGAGAGGAUGAUCAGCCACACUGGGACUGAGACACGGCCCAGACUCCUACGGGAGGCAGCAGUGGGGAAUUUUGGACAAUGGGCGCAAGCCUGAUCCAGCCAUGCCGCGUGAGGGAAGAAGGCCUUCGGGUUGUAAACCUCUUUCGGCCGGGACGAAAUCGCAUCGGUUAAUACCCGGUGUGGAUGACGGUACCGGAAGAAGAAGCACCGGCUAACUACGUGCCAGCCGCCGCCGUAAGAC